GACGAACGCUGGCGGCGUGCCUAACACAUGCAAGUCGAACGGAAAGGCGCGGCUUUUGUGGGGUGCUCGAGUGGCGAACGGGUGAGUAACACGUGAGUAACCUGCCCUUGACUUUGGGAUAACUUCAGGAAACUGGGGCUAAUACCGGAUAGGAGCUCCUGCUGCAUGGUGGGGGUUGGAAAGUUUCGGCGGUUGGGGAUGGACUCGCGGCUUAUCAGCUUGUUGGGGGGGUAGUGGAUUACCAAGGCUUUGACGGGUAGCCGGCCUGGGAGGGUGACAGGCCACAUUGGGACUGAGGUACGGCCCAGACUGGUACGGGAGGCAGCAGUGGGGAAUAUUGCACAAUGGGCGGAAGCCUGAUGCAGCAACGCCGCGUGCGGGAUGACGGCUUUCGGGUUAUAAACCGCUUUCGCCUGAAACGAGGCGUGAGUGACGGUAAUGGGUAAAGAAGCACCGGCUAACUACGUG
rnacentral:rRNA from 1 species